rnacentral:rRNA from 1 species
UCCUACGGGAGGCAGCAGUGAGGAAUAUUGGACAAUGGGCGCAAGCCUGAUCCAGCCAUGCCGCGUGCAGGAUGACGGUCCUAUGGAUUGUAAACUGCUUUUGUACAGGAAGAAACAGUUCUACGUGUAGAACCCUGACGGUACUGUAAGAAUAAGGAUCGGCUAACUCCGUGCCAGCAGCCGCGGUAAU